rnacentral:tRNA from 1 species
GGCCCUGUGGCCUAAUGGAUACGGCGUGUGACUUCUAAUCAGAAGAUUGCAGGUUCGACCCCUGCCUGUGUCA